GCUGGGUGUGGUGGCCCAUGCCUGUAAUCCCAGUGGCUUGGGAGACUGAGGCAGGAGGAUCGAGAGUUCAAAUCCAGCCUCAG
rnacentral:sRNA from 1 species